rnacentral:rRNA from 1 species
AUUGAACGCUGGCGGCAGGCCUAACACAUGCAAGUCGAACGGUAACAGGAAGCAGCUUGCUGCUUUGCUGACGAGUGGCGGCCGGGUGAGUAAUGUCUGGGAAACUGCCUGAUGGAGGGGGAUAACUACUGGAAACGGUAGCUAAUACCGCAUAACGUCGCAAGACCAAAGAGGGGGACCUUCUGGCCUCUUGCCAUCUGAUGUGCCCAGAUGGGUUUAGCUAGUAGGUGGGGUAACUGCUCACCUAGGCGACGAUCCCUAGCUGGUCUGCGAGGAUGACCAGGCAAACUGGAACUGAGACAAGGUCGAGACUCCUACGGGAGGCAGCAGUGGGGAAUAUUGAACGAUGGGCGCAAGGCUGAUGAAGCGAGGACGCGUGUAGGAAGAAGGUCUAAGGGUUGUAAAGUACUUGCAGCGGGGAGGAAGGGAGUAAAGUUAAUACCUUGGCUCAUUGACGUUACCCGCAGAAGAAGCACCGGCUAACGCCAUG